rnacentral:rRNA from 1 species
CUACACAUGCAGUCGAGCGGUAGCACAGAGAGCUUGCUCUCGGGUGACGAGCGGCGGACGGGUGAGUAAUGUCUGGGAAACUGCCUGAUGGAGGGGGAUAACUACUGGAAACGGUAGCUAAUACCGCAUAACGUCGCAAGACCAAAGUGGGGGACCUUCGGGCCUCAUGCCAUCAGAUGUGCCCAGAUGGGAUUAGCUAGUAGGUGGGGUAAUGGCUCACCUAGGCGACGAUCCCUAGCUGGUCUGAGAGGAUGACCAGCCACACUGGAACUGAGACACGGUCCAGACUCCUACGGGAGGCAGCAGUGGGGAAUAUUGCACAAUGGGCGCAAGCCUGAUGCAGCCAUGCCGCGUGUAUGAAGAAGGCCUUCGGGUUGUAAAGUACUUUCAGCGAGGAGGAAGGCGUUAAGGUUAAUAACCUUGGCGAUUGACGUUACUCGCAGAAGAAGCACCGGCUAACUCCGUGCCAGCAGCCGCGGUAAUACGGAGGGUGCAAGCGUUAAUCGGAAUUACUGGGCGUAAAGCGCACGCAGGCGGUCUGUCAAGUCGGAUGUGAAAUCCCCGGGCUCAACCUGGGAACUGCAUUCGAAACUGGCAGGCUAGAGUCUUGUAGAGGGGGGUAGAAUUCCAGGUGUAGCGGUGAAAUGCGUAGAGAUCUGGAGGAAUACCGGUGGCGAAGGCGGCCCCCUGGACAAAGACUGACGCU